UGCCAGCCGCCGCGGUAAUACGGAGGGUGCAAGCGUUGUUCGGAUUCACUGGGUAUAAAGGGUGCGCAGGCGGCCUGUUAAGUCAGGGGUGAAAUAUGACGGCUCAACCGUCAAACUGCCCCUGAAACUGAUAGGCUUGAGUCCGAGAGAGGUAGGUGGAAUUCCAGGUGUAGCGGUGAAAUGCGUAAAUAUCUGGAGGAACACCAGUGGCGAAGGCGGCCUACUGGCUCGGUACUGACGCUGAGAUGCGAAAGCGUGGGGAGCAAACAGGAUUAGAUA
rnacentral:rRNA from 1 species